UGAGGAAUAUUGGGCAAUGCCCGCAAGGGUGACCCAGCAACGCCGCGUGGAGGAUGAAUGUCGUAAGAUUGUAAACUCCUGUUAGAGGGGAAGAAUAGUACCGGUUGGACCGGUAUAUGACUGUACCCUCAGAGAAAGCCCCGGCUAACCACGUGCCAGCAGCCGCGGUAAUACGUAGGGGGCAAGCGUUGUCCGGGUUUACUGGGUGUAAAGGGCGCGCAGGCGGGAUAAAAAGUCAGUGGUGAAAUCCUACAGCUUAACUGUAGAACUGCCUUUGAUACUUUUAUUCUUGAGUUCGGGAGAGAGAGAUGGAAUUCCAGGUGUAGUGGUGAAAUACGUAGAUAUCUGGAAGAACACCAGUUGCGAAGGCGGUCUCUUGGUCCGACACUGACGCUGAGGCGCGAAAGCGUGGGGAGCAAAC
rnacentral:rRNA from 1 species